rnacentral:lncRNA from 1 species
CCUCCACCCAGUAAAAAGAGCAUACAGUGUAUUGCCAUUGUUUGCACAGGUAAAGCAGAAUUAUGGGUGAUUAAUGAUAAGAGCAACUCAACCUACAUCCAAAGGAGCCAUGUAGGAUAAAGUCAAAAUAAAUCUUAAUAAUAAAUUUAUUCCCUAUGUACUAAUUUUUAAGAAUGUUUACGAAAAAUAUGUUUAGUUCAAAUAUCUAAGUGCAGAACUAAGUUCAAGUAGAUUACAAACUCAAUCUACUUGAACUUCUUAUAACAAAAAUAUAAUAAAUAAUAUAAAUCCAGAAAGGAAAGGUACCUGUUCCGAAAUAAGAAGCACUGACUUCGAAGCAAGCUUGGAGAGUGAUUUCAACAUCUCAACCAUGAAUUCUUCUUGGGAAGAGUUCAGCACAAGCUUUCUACCUGUCUGCAACAAAACAACAGUCAAUAACGUAAGCAUAGCCAGAAAAGAUGCAAACAUGUCCACACUCUGGUAACUCAAAAGCCCUCUUCUAUUUUUAAUGCAUCUAUCUCAUCACUAAGUUCCUUUUAAGUAAGAUUUCUUCUUGUCCACCUACCCUAGCCUUUUAUAAAAAAUCUCUUCCAGAGUGUAUCUCUCUGAAGGAGGGACUUGCAUUGUAGGAGGAGGCAAGAAGCACAAUGUCUCCAAUUCGAUAGAAAGGAAAUACAAAGACAGAAAGACCCAACCACCCAAGUCUUCUAAAUAACUCAUCAAAAAGUAUACAAAAAUCGGCGACAACUUGUCUUGAAAAGCAAUUAUAAGAGAAAUAUUAAAAUAGGAGACUGAGGAUAUAGAGAAGGAUUUUUCAGGCGAGGACAAGAAAUACUAUUAGUAUAGAAUCAAGGUAAACAUAUACAUUCAUCGAACGGAAUUAGACAUUUGGACAGAGAAAGAAUUUAAUGUUCUUUGGGGUUUAAAUAUUUCUCUAAUCUUCAUAUAAUCACAACAAAGCAUCUCAUUACGAGUGUGGUUUAAAAUAGGUCAGACCAUUUACCACCGAUUGUAAGGUUAGAUCUCUUCAAUCUCUACAACCCACCACACACCACAAGCACUUUAGAAUGAUAUCAUAUGAUGCUUGUAGUUUUCUGGUAAGUUGUAUAGGUUACAAAAAUCAACCUCCACAACUGGUGGUAGAUGUUCCAGUCUCAAAUAGUACAUAUAUCAUCCAAGACACUUCAAUCCUAGUUGACAUAAUUCAUGAGAUAAAGGUGCCCAUGAUGAUAAAUCCAUCCACAGACUAAUAGACUGAAAUAGAAAACCUGCAGCACCUUGUAUGCUCGGGUUGCAAGUGUCAAUGAAUAUCCCAGUUUAGCAAAAGCUUUCGCACAUGCUCGCUUGACAGUAAUGGAAAGCUUCGAUGAGGUCAUCAUGUUAAUAAGCACCUCCAAGAAAACAUACGCAAAAUCCUCCGACAACUCUGAAAAGCACCCUGCAGUAAAAAGUGAUGCCUUUACCUGCUAGAAGUCAAAUGGAUGUGGAGCAGUUCUCUGUCAAUAUUGGCCACAGAUUAGAAUGAUUCAAAUAGAUUGAAAAUUCUAAUGGGUGUCAGCUCAAAACAAACUAACAGAUGAUAUAAAUGCAGAUAAGUAUGCAUGUUCAACGCAUAUAAAGAAGAGUGGUGUCAAGUGUCAACUAAACACAAAACGUUGCAAUAUCAGACAUCUUGUACUUUACAACUAACAACUAGCAUCUCUAAUCAUUCUAAAGAGCAUUGUGGUAUUUACGACUAUCAACAAAAUAAGUCCGCAACUGCAUCUCAUAUUUUCAAAUUUUCAUCCCUUCAAAUGCUCCCCAUCACAUAAAUUCCAGAUUCAACAUUUAGUACAUGCUUACAUAAUAACAUAGAAUACAAAAUAUCAACAUUUAUUGUCCAUAAGUUGUUCUCCAUUCUUAGAAACCUAUAGUCAAAAUCUUAUUCUAUCAAAGUCGUGACUUUACCUACUAAAUUUGUUUCUUAAUCAUUUGUCUUCUAUAUAUAUUAUCUUUUUUCCCCUACAUCUUAAUCAAAAUUUCCAUUCAUGUUCAGGGACUAAAUCUUUCAACAAUGAGUCAAUGAUAAAUUUGUUUGCAAGAGAAGGAUAAUACAACGCACCUCUGUAACAUUGCACGAGCCUAAGCUAGAUAAAAUCAUGUGACGUAUUUCAGCACUAUCACUUGCAAUAUCAGACCAACAUCCAAGUAGCCGUAAACUUAUUGAUUUAUAAUCAGAAUCUCCUUUAUCAUAAACAAUCUUUACCCUUUUAAGAAGUUCAACAUAAUUUGGUACCCUUUUCUUUGCCAAAAUUCCAUUAUAUUGUUUACCCUUCUUACGUUUCUUUCUCUCUAAAAGAAAAGCUUUUAGAAUACAAAACCUUGUUUGUUUAUCUCCACAUUUAAAUGCAUCUGCAAGUCGAAGAAGGAUAGUAUUUGCAAACAAUCUAUCUUCCCCAGGAAUUAAACCAAAUAUGUUGAAUAUCGCCAUUGUAGAAAUGGGUUCUUUACUCCAUUGCUCAAGUCUUGAACCAAUUUGUGAUAGAGCUUCAAUAGCUUGACCUGAAACAAUAAAGAAAAAUUCCUAACAACUACAAUUUAUACAACCUCAACAAGUGCAAUUUGAAGAAAAUUGAAGCGGCAUGCUUACCAGGUUUAUUUGAUCGAAGGCCUUUUUCAAGUUCAAUGCUCCAUUCCAUUGCACAAGCUGCAGAGUUCUUCUCCAUAUUUUUCUUCUCUUUGAGUGAUUUCUUCAAACAAUUCUUUAGCGAUAAUUUCAAAAUGGUAUUACUGUUGGAGCUUGAUUCCUACCGACUUGUUUUCUUAAUAAGGGCACAAUGAAUGCGGCUAUUUGCAGACCGCAUUAGUUGUUAUCUGCACCCACGAAAUAUUCAAAUAUUUUAGUACUGUAUGUGUGAUGAAAUUCCAGUCCGAUUCAAGUAUCAGAUUUAUCCAAAUUUAUUGGUUUUGGUUAUCAGGUUAUGAUAUAAAUCCUGUUAACCAAAAGUAUUCCUGACAGCCAUAUGGGCAUUCCCGAAUCAAUGUGCGCAUGGGCUGAUAGGCAUAGCAAAGCUGAAAUGCUGUGUAGUAGGCUAGUAGCUAUGAGCUCAUCGACACACCUUGGGCAAGUAUUGAGGUUGAUGUUUAAAAUUUAACGUUUGCAUGGUCUGUAGUCUGUACUAUUGAAUACUGAUCGAGUAACACAAACUGAAACUUGAACAAACCGAUCUACUAAACAAUAUACUGUCAUUUUUAGAUAUAGAAGACUGAAAGUUGUGCAGUUGAUGAAAAUAGUCUUAUAUGUUUGCUCAAGUUAAUAGCUGAGUUUCCUUCUUUCUUUCUUCUUGAGAAUUUGGUUAAACAAGAACACGCACAUUCAGACAAAAACACAGAAAAUAAGGAACCCCAAACUUUUGUUACAUAGCUUCAUUGUUAUUUUUGUUCAUGACUACAUGAUGAUAAUAGAAAAGGUUGAGAUGCACAACAGCAGGGUAGUUCAUGUCAGAGUUUUGUUUGACAAGUCUCUCAAUCGCACAAGGAAAACUAUCAGCCACGAACCAAAGUAACACUAGAUAAUCUCUAGGUGCACCUUUUAACAGACAAUAACUCGUCUAUUAAGAUUACUGUCUCUCUUUCUUGAGGCCAUUUUGAAAAGAAAAUGGGGCCUGCUGAAAUCCAUUCAAGCCACCUUCAAUUGUUUAGUCCCCUAGGUUAACAAGUAUUUCAGAGACAAACUUUAUCAAUGAGCAGAGUCCCCCCAGGAAGUUAUGGUCAAUGACACCUUCACCGUCUGUGACGUGAGCAAAAUCAAUAAGCUUCACUUCUGCCCGUGACAUCCCUGUCUCAGCUCCCGCCUUCUCAUACAUCACAAGGACAGAACAAGAAUUGAAGUGAUAAAUGGUUUGAUCUUCAAACCACGCUUUUAACUCCAACAAUUGUGCCAAAAUCCCAUCAGAACCUCCAUAAACAACAGAUGCAAAUGAACCAUCCGGUUUUGCAUCAGCUAAAGGGUUAGAAGAUACAAACCUCUUAAGAGAUGACCGAACAUCCUCCACAUCAUAACUUGAGACAACCUUCUUCGCAGGCUUCCAAAAUCCUGAUUCCUCGCUUUCAUAUGCUUGUAAACCAGAUAUUCUGAAACCCAAUUUUAAACUUGUGCCUUCUCUAUCUUUUUUGAGACAUUUUUUAAUAUAUUCCUCAGAUGCUUGAGGGUACCAGGUUCUGGAUCCAAUCUUGAUGUCCAUCACAGAUGGAUGUACGUGAGUGGAGACGAGGUCUUCCAAAAUAAGGUGGGGAUGUAGACCAGACCCAUCGGAAGCCUCUAGAAGCUGAGUACCGUGGAAAAGCGGGAAGUACCGACGGAUUUGAUCUGGAAUUUUAGUAUUAGAGGAGAAGGAAGUGUAGAAGGCCGCCUCUCUUGAUCCACGUUCAUCAUUCUGGAGGGGCUUACAGAAACGACCCGAAUCAUCAAUAAGUGGACCAAGCUUUCCGUCGCCUGCUUGGUGGCCUGCAACCUGAUGAUCUGGGAUCUUAAGCAUGUCGAGGUAAUUAUACCAACAAUAACAACAAUUUUUCUUCAAGCCAAGUCCAGAGAUUCUAGCCCUGAAACAUAGAAUAAGAAGUUCACUUAUUAUCACUACACUGUAGAGGAGGUACGAACAUGGAGCUGGCUUAACAUAAGCAAGAAAUCUAUGGAGCUCAGACAGAACAUCUAUGGUUGGAGAUAUGUGAUGUAAUCAGAUGACUGGAAUCAUACAGGAAACGAUUGCAGGGUCUGUAGACUUGUAGGGAGAACCUGGCAAGGACUGAAGAAGGUGCAGAAGUGCAUCAAAUGCGACAGAAAACAGUUGAAGCACCAGCUUCUUCUGUGAUCAUUUACUGUAUGUAUGUGCAAUUUACUGAACUUAGGGGCUGUGUUAGGAAUGCUAUGUAUGAAGAGGUUUGCCCUCUAAAUUCAAACUGACGGUGCAAUUUCUGCACGCUGACAGUAUGUAACUUUGUUUUGAUUGAAUAUAAAUACUACUCUUACCAAAAAAAAAAAAAAAAUUGUUUAUGUAUUAAACUUAAUAACUUGAUUAUACUUACUUUUUUUUUUGUUGUUGCAACUAAAUUUUUAUUGCUUAAAUAAAACGUUGAUAGAUUAUACUUACUUCUAAGCUAACAAUAAGGAAGUUGUACAAAUUGUCAGAUAAAGUUCUUCAAUAUCCACAGGAAGAACCUGCAAUAAAAAAGCUACUGAUCACAACUGGAAAAUACCUUGUACCAUUUAAUUUGUAGACAUAAUAAUAGUUUGGUACCAUUUAAAAUUUCUUAACAGCCAACAUGUUAUCAUACUACACAGAAUAUAUUUCAAUUGAAAUCGAUGUAUCAUAAAAAAUAAAGAAUAUAUAUUAUACUACUAAUUAAAAAACCUAAAUUAUUAUUGUUCAGACUUCAGACCAAGCUUUACAAAACAUUUUUAUGAUUCAAAAGUCUUAGUCCAAAAUAUACUACUAAAAAUUAAAAACAGUUUUCAUUAACUAAACCUUACAAAAAGAAUGAAUAUAUGAAAUUGUCAUCUUCUUCAGCAAUAUAUAUAUACCUAAGCAUGAAACAUUUGGACAGAACAUCACAGUAUAUUCUGAGGAAUUAAAAACACUCAAAUCAACAUGAUGAAGAAGAACAUAAUGUUGAUGAAAGCAUGGUAAAACAUAACUAAUUAUCACAAAAUUUCUAAAGACAAAAGUAGAAUUUGAAAUUACAUUUGAUCUGCAGCUUAAGUUCAUCCCCCAACAAUCAUCAAUUACAAUUAAAACCACAAAUUUGGAGCCAAAAUUAACAAAAAAAAACAAACCGAAUUUAACUAUCUAUUUUUUGCAAUUACACAAGCGAUGUGUGUGUGUGAGACUGUGUGUGUGUGAGAGAGAGAGAGCUGUUAGUUGACAUUGAGAUUGAGAUUUGAGAGAGAUACCUAAGUGAUCAUUGAAUCCAUUAAGGGAAGAGGUGUGUGUGUUGUAGACUACCAUGCACUGGUUGCUUGUUGAUUCUUAGAUCAAAGGAGAUAAAUACUUCUUUCUGCAAUCUUGGUUUAGUAAAGAAGGGCGGAAGGAAGAAGAGAAGGAAGAAGAGGAUGAGAUACGGAUUGGAAAAUUUUCUGGAAUCAAAUACUAGUAGUGAAGUGAGUGGACUACUGGACUCUGUCUCUGGCUGGGACCUUCACGCAACAGCGAAUAUGUUAGUAGGAAGUUGCUACUAGCAACUAGCACGUCACAUGUAGUCUACUUGCCCACUUGAUGGCAUAUUGGGCUCAGAGCUUUGGCUUGAACCAAAAACCAUUGGACAUGAGCAUGAUUCUUAAAUUUGUAGUUCCCCACAGUUCAAGGUGAAUAAUCAUCAUUUUGUUUUAUAGAAAAUUUAUUAUAAAAAAAUUUGUAGCUUGUGUAAUCCGUUUUCUUUUAUCAAUAAAAAAAAAAAAAAUUCUUCUUUUUCUUCUCAUGGUAAUUUGUAUUAGAGAAUGGUAGAAGGUCAAUAUACACAAGGUGGACUUGAUUACCCCUCAGACAGUCAGACCUCCUCCUCAUCUCCAUUAAUGAUUUCUAAGUAAAUACUUUUCUCUGUCUGAAUCAACCAUUUCUAACUACAAAUUUGAAACCCUUUCCGAAUUAAACAAAUAAGUUCUAAAUCUGUAUGUAUAUUAAAUAUAAAUUCCAUUCACUCCAAUGUCUCAAUCUAUAUCCCUCGUCGAUCCUUUUUUUAAGAAAGAUGUGAUACAUAAUCUCAGAUAAACAGGUCUAUCUAUGUGCUAUAUAUAUAUACGUACAGCUCAAGUCACUACAGUUGCACCCAGUGGUGGAUCCAAAGGGGGCUGUGGGGGCUAGGGGUGGGCAAAAAAACCGAACCGAACCGAAAAAACCGAGUCAAAACCGGUCAAAACCGAGUUGACUAAAAACCGGUCAAGAUUGGACCGAAACCGAACCGAACUAUAUAGCUAUUGGUCCGGUCUCGGUUCUUGUUUUUAUAGAACCGAGAGAACCGAACCGAACCGAAAUAAAUAAAUUUUUUUUUUUUUAAUUACUAAAUUACUAAAUUAGACCUAAGAAAGUAAGAAGUACAAAACCUAACUUUCUUCUUCCUCUUCUGAGUCUUCUCCAUCUCAAUCCGCCCCCUUUUCAUUCCUCUUCUCCAACUACUUUUUGCUGAUCUUAUGACAAUCUUCUCCCCAAAACCAAAACCCUCCCAUCGCUUUGAGUCGAUCGAAGUCUCUCUCUCUCUCUCUCUCUCUCUCUCUCUUCAUUUGCUCUUGAUGUUCUAAGAAUUCUCUAUAGCAAUUAAAUGGCAUCUGCCUUUCUUUCAAGAUCACUUGUUGGACUUCUUCGUUCUUCUUCAACUUCUUUCACUCAAAAGUCUCA